GAUGCAUUGACCUUUGAUGAUGUGCAUGUACACUUCACUCGGGAGGAGUGGUCCUUGCUGGAUCCAUCUCAGAAGAGACUUUACAAAGAUGUCAUGCUGGAGAACUACAGGAAUCUCACCACUAUAGGCUACAAUUGGAAAGAUCAUAACAUUGAAGAACAUUCUCAAAAUGAUAGAAGAUACGGAAGGCACAAAAUCACUCCUGCUGGAGAGAAACCCUAUGAAUAUACACAAUGGGAUAAAGCCUUCAAAUAUCACAGUCAUCUUCAAAAGCUUGAAAGAAACCAAACUGGAGACAAAAACUCGGAAGUCUUUCAACAUAGUAAAGUGCUUACAUGUCAAAGUACUCUCCAAAGAAAUAAAAGAACAGAUACUAGAGAGAAACCCUACAAAUGUAAUGAAUGUGAUAAAGCCUUUUUAAAGCUCAAGUAUCUUCGACUACAUGAAAGAAUAUAUUCUGGGAAGAAACCCUAUGAAUGUAAUCAAUGUGGUAAAGCCUUUUUACAUCCCAGCUAUCUUCGAAUGCAUGAAAGAACACAUACUGGAGAGAAACCUUACCAAUGUAAUCAAUGUGGCAAAGCCUUUACACGAAGGAGUCAUCUUCAAAGCCAUAAAGUAGUACAUACUGGAGAGAGACCCUACAUAUGUAAUCAGUGUAAUAAAGCCUAUCCACGCAAGAGUUGUCUCCGAAAACAUGAAAGAACACAUACUGGAGAGAAACCUUACAAAUGUGAUCAGUGUGGUAAGGCCUUUACACAAAGCAGUCAUCUUAAAACCCAUAAAGUAAUACAUACUGGAGGGAGACUCUAA
rnacentral:lncRNA from 1 species